rnacentral:rRNA from 1 species
UCCUACGGGGGGCAGCAGUAGGGAAUCUUCCACAAUGGACGAAAGUCUGAUGGAGCAACGCCGCGUGAGUGAAGAAGGGUUUCGGCUCGUAAAGCUUUGUUGGGAGUGAAGAAAGAUAGAGGUAGUAACUGGCCUUUAUUUGACGGUAAUUACUUAGAAAGUCACGGCUAACUACGUGCCAGCAGCCGCGGUAAUACGGAGGAUGCGAGCGUUAUCCGGAUUUAUUGGGCGUAAAGAGAGUGCAGGCGGUUUAAUAA